AUUGAACGCUGGCGGCAGGCUUAACACAUGCAAGUCGAGCGGGGGAAGGUAGCUUGCUACCGGACCUAGCGGCGGACGGGUGAGUAAUGCUUAGGAAUCUGCCUAUUAGUGGGGGACAACAUCUCGAAAGGGAUGCUAAUACCGCAUACGUCCUACGGGAGAAAGCAGGGGAUCUUCGGACCUUGCGCCAAUAGAUGAGCCUAAGUCGGAUUAGCUAGUUGGUGGGGUAAAGGCCUACCAAGGCGAAGAUCUGUAGCGGGUCUGAGAGGAUGCUCCGCCACACUGGGACUGAGACACGGCCCAGACUCCUACGGGAGGCAGCAGUGGGGAAUAUUGGACAAUGGGGGGAACCCUGAUCUAGCCAUGCCGCGUGUGUGAAGAAGGCCUUAUGGUUGUAAAGCACUUUAAGCGAGGAGGAGGCUACUCUAGUUAAUACCUAGGGAUAGUGGACGUUACUCGCAGAAUAAGCACCGGCUAACUCUGUGCCAGCAGCCGCAGUAA
rnacentral:rRNA from 1 species